ACGCUCCUCCGAUCGAUCAAACCUUAUUCCAUGCUAUUUCCAUAAGAUUCUUCUUUCUUAUUCUUAAGAAAGCCCUCGAGAGGGCUUAGUUGAUCAUGAUUUCUGUUUUCUCUUUCUUUUCCUUUUUGUUUGUUUUGAGAAAGAUAUC